rnacentral:rRNA from 1 species
GAUGAACGCUGGCGGCGUGCCUAAUACAUGCCAGUCGAGCGAACGGACGAGAAGCUUGCUUCUCUGAUGUUAGCGGCGGACGGGUGAGUAACACGUGGAUAACCUACCUAUAAGACUGGGAUAACUUCGGGAAACCGGAGCUAAUACCGGAUGAUAUUUUGAACCGCAUGGUUCAAAAGUGAAAGACGGUCUUGCUGUCACUUAUAGAUGGAUCCGCGCUGCAUUAGCUAGUUGGUAAGGUAACGGCUUACCAAGGCAACGAUGCAUAGCCGACCUGAGAGGGUGAUAGCCGACACUGGAACUGAGACACGGUCCGGAAUCCUACGGGAGGCAGCAGUCGGGAAUCUUCCGCAAUGGGCGAAAGCCUGACGGAGCAACGCCGCGUGAGUGACGAAGGUCUUCGGAUCGUAAAACUCUGUUAUUAGGGAAGAACAUAUGUGUAAGUAACUGUGCACAUCUUGACGGUACCUAAUCAGGAAGCCACGGCUAACUACGUG